rnacentral:tRNA from 1 species
GCCUGGGUGGCGGAAUUGGUUUACGCGCACGACUCAAAAUCGUGUGGAGUUUUCUCCAUGAGGGUUCGAGUCCCUCCCCAGGCA